ensembl:scaRNA
GGUCUCCUCCCCUUGGGCUGCUAGAGACCCAGUUGCUUCUCAGCAGUGCUGGAGGCCAAGAUCAGCCCUGAAGGAGCACUGUCAGGGCUUCUGCCAGUGGUCAGACCCAUUUUCCUGUCUCCAACUGUG